rnacentral:rRNA from 1 species
UACCAGCGGUCCAAGUUGCAGCCACAUUUAUUGGGUCUAAAACAUCCGUAGCUUGUUCUGUAAGUCUCUUGUGAAAUUUCACAUCUUAAGUGUGAAGCGUGCAAGAGAUACUGCAGAACUAGAGACCGGGAGACACGAAGAGUACGGCCAAGGUAGUGGUAAAAUACGUUAAUCUUGGUUGGACUAACAACAGCGAAGGCACUUCGUGAUAACGGUUCUGACAGUGAGGGAUGAAAGCUAGGGGCGCAAAACGGAUUAGAUACCCCAGUA